rnacentral:rRNA from 1 species
AUUGAACGCUGGCGGCAUGCCUUACACAUGCAAGUCGAACGGUAACAGGUUAAGCUGACGAGUGGCGAACGGGUGAGUAAUACAUCGGAACGUGCCCAGUAGUGGGGGAUAGCCCGGCGAAAGCCGGAUUAAUACCGCAUACGACCUACGGGUGAAAGCGGGGGAUCGCAAGACCUCGCGCUAUUGGAGCGGCCGAUGUCAGAUUAGGUAGUUGGUGGGGUAAAAGCCUACCAAGCCUACGAUCUGCAGCUGGUCUGAGAGGACGACCAGCCACACUGGGACUGAGACACGGCCCAGACUCCUACGGGAGGCAGCAGUGGGGAAUUUUGGACAAUGGGCGAAAGCCUGAUCCAGCCAUGCCGCGUGCGGGAAGAAGGCCUUCGGGUUGUAAACCGCUUUUGUCAGGGAAGAAACGCUCUGAGUUAAUACCUCGGGGUAAUGACGGUACCUGAAGAAUAAGCACCGGCUAACUACGUGCCAGCCGCCGCCGUAAAAC